AGAAUAUUCAUCCACUUGGGCAUAAGGUCAUUAAUCUAUAAAUUUAUACAUACUGUGGCAGUGUAAGGGAACACUGCUAUAAUAGCCCCAGAAUGGCACUUUCAGUGUUCCCUGACUAGAGGGGGUUAAAAAAUCAGGCUGGUCUAGUACAUCAGUUAGGGAGCUACUUAAACCCCUAUGCAGAGGGAAAUCAGUCUCUCCUGUGAAGAGCUGGGGCAGAGACAGAGAGACUGUGAGUCAAAGAGACGGCUGAAACUGCAUGGAAAGUAAAGGUAUUUUGCAAGCCUUUAUUUU